GGCUGGUCCGAAGGUAGUAAGUUAUCUUGAUUGUCCACAGUCAGGUAUAGAUUGAACUCCUUGUUCUACUACUUCCCCUUCUUCUCUCUACUGUACUUGACUAGUCUUAA
rnacentral:Y_RNA from 1 species